rnacentral:rRNA from 1 species
UAAAUAGACGGGUUGACAUUUUGUUGGCCCCUUAUGUCUUCUUAGAGGGACUAUCGACCGUCUAGGUGAUGGAGGCAAAAGGCAAUAACAGGUCUGUGAUGCCCUUAGAUGUUCCGGGCUGCACGCGCGCUACACUGACAGAGACAACGAGUGGGGCCCCUUGUCCGAAAUGACUGGGUA